rnacentral:rRNA from 1 species
CAGUAGCCACGGGAAUACGAAGGGGGCUAGCGUUGUUCGGAUUUACUGGGCGUAAAGCGCACGUAGGCGGAUCGAUCAGUCAGGGGUGAAAUCCCAGAGCUCAACUCUGGAACUGCCUUUGAUACUGUCGAUCUGGAGUAUGGAAGAGGUGAGUGGAAUUCCGAGUGUAGAGGUGAAAUUCGUAGAUAUUCGGAGGAACACCAGUGGCGAAGGCGGCUCACUGGUCCAUUACUGACGCUGAGGUGCGAAAGCGUGGGGAGCAAACAGGAUUAGAUACCCCGGUGUCCCUGUCUCUUAUACC